rnacentral:rRNA from 1 species
GGCCAGACUCCUACGGGAGGCAGCAAUGGGGAAUAUUGCACAAUGGGGGAAACCCUGAUGCAGCGACGCCGCGUGAGUGAAGAAGUAUUUCGGUAUGUAAAGCUCUAUCAGCAGGAACGAGACAAGACGGUACCUGACUAAGAAGCCCCGGCUAACUACGUGCCAGCAGCCGCGGUAAUACGUAGGGGGCAAGCGUUAUCCGGAAUCACUGGGUGUAAAGGGAGCGUAGACGGCUGUGCAAGCCUGAAGUGAAAGGCGGGGGCCCAACCCCUGGACUGCUUUGGGAACUGUACGGCUGGAGUGCAGGAGAGGUAAGUGGAAUUCCUAGUGUAGCGGUGAAAUGCGUAGAUAUUAGGAGGAACACCAGUGGCGAAGGCGGCUUACUGGACUGUAACUGACGUUGAGGCUCGAAAGCGUGGGGAGCAAACAGGAUUAGAUACCCCUGUACAA